rnacentral:rRNA from 1 species
GACAGAGGUGCCGAGCGUUAGGCGGAAUCACUGGGCUUAAAGCGUGUGUAGGCGGGCGGGCAAGUACCUUGUGAAAUCCCACGGCUCAACCGUGGAACUGCUGGGUAUACUGCCUGUCUUGAGCCAGCCAGGGGCAGUCGGAACAGACGGUGGAGCGGUGAAAUGCGUAGAUAUCAGGAGGAACACCUGUGGUGUAGACAGCUUACUGGACCACUUCUGACGCUGAGACACGAAAGCGUGGGUAGCAAACAGG